rnacentral:misc_RNA from 1 species
UUUCUCGCUUCCGUUGAAAAUAAUAUUGCAAUGGUCACCGAUAUCAUAACUAUGCGGUGAUCAGAAUUCCUUUGAUCUUUUUGUCUUUUGAAUUUUGCUUGUGGUAAAAUAGCAUGAUGCACCUAAAAUCUUCUUAAGGCUCAUACAUUUAUUUCCCUCAGAAAGCUGAUGGAAAAGAUGAGUAGUCCGGAUGAUGCUCAAAGCACUCAGGAUCCUGAGGGAAUGCUUGACUCGCAGACUCAGUAUGAAGAGUCUCCAAAUGACGACAAAUUUAUAGACAAACAGAGAGCAGUCAAUCUCCUGCAGGGAUUUUCUAAACUCUACAGAGAAAAAGAGUUUGUGGAUGUCACCCUUUGUGUAGAUGAGACAGAAUUUCCAUGUCACAAAAAUGUUCUCGCAAUAUCAAGUCCUUUUUUCAUGGCCAUGUUUUCUACAAAUAUGGCAGAGAGUCAUCAAGAUAAGAUUACUUUAAAGGAGUUAGAUCCACAAACUAUGGGUCUGGUGCUGGACUAUAUCUACACAGGACAAGUUGUGCUUUCGGAGGAGACUGUUCAACAUCUACUUUCCGCCGCCAACAGAUUUCAGUUGCUUUCGCUCAGAAGUGGAUGUGCUGAAUUCAUGAUGAACCACAUCACUGUGUCAAAUUGUAUUGGAGUGUUCUUUUUUGCUAAAGCUCACGAAUGCACAGAUUUAGCCACAAAAGCCAAAGAAAUUGUGAACAGUAGAUUUACUGAUUUGUGCAAACAUCAGGAGUUUUUAUCCCUGCCUUCUGACAAGUUGGUUGAAAUCAUUAGUGAUGAUGACAUCAAUGUGACCAAUGAAGAAACUGUUUAUGAAGCAUGCAUGCAUUGGCUUAUGUCAGACAAAGAAAACAGAAUGGCACACUUAAUGGAAAUAAUGAAUUGUGUUCGAUUUGCCAAUAUCAGCUCUUACUAUUUCUGUGAUAGAAUUGACAGGAAUAAAAUACUGAAAGACUGUGAAUCCUUGAGAAAAGUUCUGGACACAGUUAGGUAUUUUCAUAUGCUACGCAACAGACAACAUGAAAUGGACCUGAAUCUCAUGCCCCGCAAAGGAAUGGCCCACGAAACUGGAGUGAUGAUCAUUGCAAAUCCUUAUACAGAGGAACAGAUGAAAAAAUUCAAUAGCAUGGAGAUGCUGUUGCCAAAGACUGGAGAAGUGAUUACCAUAUGUAAACUACCACAAAGUUUAUACACCCCUGGAUGUGCUAUAACUGGAGAUAAUCAGAUUUAUUUGGCGGGUGGAUCCAUACGUAAGCUGAAUUACCGCGGGUCCGUGACGACAGAGGGAGUGUCCAACAGCUUCUACGUCUUUGACCAGAUAGAGAAGAGUUGGACCUCCAAAGCAAAGAUGAAUAUGUCCCGGUCCCAGUUUUCUUUGGUCAUUGUUGAUGGUUAUGCUUUUGCCAUCGGAGGUCAAGAUGGCUCAGAAAUCCUCAGUACAGUGGAGCGUUACGACCCUCACACCAAUGCUUGGAUAUUAGUGGCUCCCCUAGCAAUACCACUGCGAUUCAUGACCAGCAUUAGUCACAGGGGAAAGCUGUAUGUCUUUGGAGGUGAAACAUGUGAAAAGAUCAGCAAAACAGCUUACAGGUAUGAUCCAGCUGAUGAUACUUGGGUGGAGUUACCUCCCAUGUCUACAUCUAGGGUACUGGCAGGGUGUGUGAUUCACAAGGACAAAAUCUAUGUCAUUGGAGGUAAUUCGGAAUUGAGUGACAAGUGGAAGAAGGAGUUUCUGCCGGAGCAUUGUGUGAGUUCUGUGGAGGUGUUUGAUCCAGCCACCGAUACUUGGAGUGAGGGUCCAGAGCUCCCCAAUGCCCUCUGUGGAGCAGGGAUAGUAAAAUACAGCAAUACGAUUUUGAUUGUGGGAGGUGAAGAUGACAAGAGUUGGAUGGCUGGCCUCUGCUGGCUGAAGGAGGAGAACGGUAGACAGACGUGGGUGGAGGGACAGGAACUGCCCACAGUGAUGAGCACUUUUGGCUGUGUUGUGGCCAAUAUUCAGCAUGACGUUUACAAAUAGCAGGAUAUUGAUUUUUUUUUGGGGGGGGGGGGGGGGGGGGGGGUCCUGUUUAAUGCAGGGUUGAUCUGACUUUUAUACUCAAUUUAUUACUCCGUACCAAUGCAAAAUAGCCAAUCAAUUUAAUUCCUAAAAGGGCAAAAUUUUAUAUAAAUUACACAUAUUUAUUCAGUUUGUUUUCGCUAUUGUCUUUAUUUAAACCAACUUUUGGUUUGGCCAAGUUUAUUUCAAGAUUAAGCAAUGAUAAAUUGGUUCCUUGCUUCUAAUUUUCUUCAGGACACUAUGUAGAUAAUUUCACUUAAACAUAAGAGUUGCAAGGUUUUUCAGAAAUAUUUCUGAAUUUCCAUGAAGCUCUUGAAUUUUUCUGGCAUUCAAAGAAAAGGUGGUUUACAGUGAUUUAUAAUACCUGUAGUUGAUGCUGAUUUGUUUGGCUUCAGAGUAUAUUAUUAUUUAAAUUGACAGAAACAAAAUUCAGAAAAAAAGCUCCUUCAUUGUUCUGUGAAGAAUAGUUUAUGCUCUGAUUUUAAUUCAUAAGCAUGCUCUCUCUCUCUCUCUCUCUCUCUCUCUCUCUCUCUCUCAUUUUUUAAACUUGUCACAUCAAUUUUAGCUUAAUUUUUCUUUGAAAAAAUAUACAGUAUUUAUCUGGCUUAUUAAAACCACAUGUUUAUGAUUUUUGACGCUUAGGGUUUUCUAGUCACAAAAGAUCAUGGAGUUGCUAGCUCUGCAAGAUCUCAUUUUAUGUUUUUGGGAUCAAUUUUGUUUUUGUCUGUGGAUCUUCAAAUACUGCCACUGACUGUAUUUUUCAUGAUGUAGAUGCUGUGAACAUUAUGAUAUACUGUUUCAAACAUGUGUACUUAUCCUAAAGGUAGUGAAAGUUUGAGGUUUCAAAAAAGUGAUGGGAAAAAGUUCAGUGCAAUGUAAAAAAAAAAAUUGAAUUCAAGCUGAUCCAAAAGUACAAGAUUUUAUAUUUUGGUAUAUGAUUUGCAGAAUGAAGAAAAUACAGUAUAUACAAGAAUAUACAUUGCUAUGUAAAGUUAAGAUUGGCAGUGAGAUAUUAAAGACAGUUAUAUGUGUAUUUAAAAGUUCUUAAAUUGAUCACCUCAGUUCACUACAGAAAAGUAUUAUAGCAGGGUAUUUUUGUUAUAAUGCAUAUGAUGCAAUGUUGAACAAUGAACAAUGGGCUUCCUAUAAUAUAAUUGUAUUGCUCUCGUGGAGUGUGUGAGUUGUUCUGCCAUUUUGUUUUAUACACCGUAUUAUAUGGACCAAGUUCACCAUGGAGUGUAAUCUAGAAAUAAAGACAUAUUAUUAAAGAU